rnacentral:rRNA from 1 species
UACGUGGGGUGCGAGCGUUGUCCGGAAUUAUUGGGCGUAAAGAGCUUGUAGGCGGUUUGUCGCGUCUGCCGUGAAAAUUCGAGGCUCAACCUCGAACUUGCGGUGGGUACGGGCAGACUAGAGUGUGGUAGGGGAGACUGGAAUUCCUGGUGUAGCGGUGAAAUGCGCAGAUAUCAGGAGGAACACCGAUGGCGAAGGCAGGUCUCUGGGCCACUACUGACGCUGAGAAGCGAAAGCAUGGGGAGCGAACAGG